rnacentral:rRNA from 1 species
GAUGAACGCUAGCGGCAGGCUUAAUACAUGCAAGUCGGACGGGAUUGAGGAGCUUGCUCUUCAUGAGAGUGGCGCACGGGUGYGUAACAYGUAUGUAACCUACCUUUAUCAGGGGGAUAGCCUCUCGAAAGAGAGAUUAAGCCCGCAUAWCAUUAUGAUAUGGCAUCAUAUUAUAAUCAAAUAUUUAUAGGAUAAAGAUGGGCAUGCGGAACAUUAGCUAGUUGGCGAGGUAACGGCUCACCAAGGCUACGAUGUUUAGGGGAUMUGAGAGGAUGACCCCCCACACUGGUACUGAGACACGGACCAGWCUCCUACGGGAGGCAGCAGUAAGGAAUAUUGGUCAAUGGGCGGAAGCCUGAACCAGCCAUGCCGCGUGCAGGAAGACGGCCCUACGGGUUGUAAACUGCUUUUGUACCGGAAUAAACCCUUUUACGUGUAAGAGGUUGAAUGU